rnacentral:rRNA from 1 species
UACGUAGGGUGCAAGCGUUUAAUCGGAAUUACUGGGCGUAAAGCGUGCGCAGGCGGUUCGCCAAGUCAGGUGUGAAAUCCCCGGGCUUAACCUGGGAAUUGCGCUUGAAACUAGCGGGCUUGAGUGUGGCAGAGGGGGGUGGAAUUCCACGUGUAGCAGUGAAAUGCGUAGAGAUCCGGAAGAACACCAGUGGCGAAGGCGGUCUGCUGGGCAGUGGGAUCGAAAGGUCCCUUUAACCGACACUGAGGCGCGACAGCGUGGGGAGCAAACAGG